rnacentral:rRNA from 1 species
UACGGGGGGGGGCAAGCGUUUGUUCGGAAUUACUGGGCGUAAAGCGCACGUAGGCGGCUUUGUAAGUUAGAGGUGAAAGCCCGGGGCUCAACUCCGGAACUGCCUUUAAGACUGCAUCGCUUGAAUCCGGGAGAGGUGAGUGGAAUUCCGAGUGUAGAGGUGAAAUUCGUAGAUAUUCGGAAGAACACCAGUGGCGAAGGCGGCUCACUGGACCGGUAUUGACGCUGAGGUGCGAAAGCGUGGGGAGCAAACAGG